rnacentral:rRNA from 1 species
GAGAUAUAUAAAUGGUCGGAAGCAUUCGGUGUGCAGUAACAACAAUAAAUUACUCCGCCUGGGGGAGUACGGUCGCAAGACUGAAACUCAAAAGGAAAUGACGGGGACUCGCACAAGCGGUGGAGCAUGCGGUUUAAAUUCGAUGCAACGCGAAAAACCUUUACCAGGUCUUGACAUACUGUGUCAGGAUUAGAGAUAAUCCCUUUCUUCGGAACAACAGAUACAGGUGGUGCAUGGUUGUCGUCAGCUCGUGUCGUGAGAUGUUGGGUUAAGUCCCGCAACGAGCGCAACCCUUAUCAUUAGUUGCUAACAUUCAGUUGAGCACUCUAAUGAGACCGCCGGUGAUAAACCGGAUGAAGGUGGGGAUGACGUCAAAUCAUCAUGCCCCUUAUGACCUGGGCUACACGUGUGCUACAAUGGCUAGUACAAAGAGUCGAAAAAACCGUGAGAGUGGAGCUAAUCUCAUAAAGCUAGUCUCAGUUCGGAUUGUAGUCUGCAACUCGACUACAUGAAGUUUCAGGAAACAAUUCUUACCAUGAGCAUGCCAAGGUGAAAUCGGUCUCGAUUUAGGGACACCCCGCCCGCCGCCCCAUGCAGUCGACGGACCCCGGAUCCGGGUGGCCUACCCGGAAGGAGGGAGCAUGUAAAGGCGGACAAAAGCGUUCAUCAUGUCCCAGCAUCAAAACCUAAUCUAGAGCAUCCGCGAGGUG